rnacentral:rRNA from 1 species
UACGUAGGGUGCGAGCGUUAAUCGGAAUACUGGCGUAAGACGUGCGCAGGCGGUUUUGUAAGUCAGAUGUGAAAUCCCCGGGCUCAACCUGGGAACUGCGUUUGAAACUACAAGGCUAGAGUGUAGCAGAGGGGGGGUAGAAUUCCACGUGUAGCAGUGAAAUGCGUAGAGAUGAUGGAGGAAUACCAAUGGCGAAGGCAGCCCCCUGG